rfam:Tupaia chinensis contig173171, whole genome shotgun sequence.
CAAAAGGCUCUUUUCAGAGCCACCCACUCGUUCUGGGGAAGAACUG